rnacentral:rRNA from 1 species
CUCAUAGCGUAUAUUAAUGUUGUUGCAGUUAAAAAGCUCGUAGUUGGAUUCCUGACCUGGGGUAGCCGGUCCGCCUUGCAAAAGGUGCGCACUGAGCGGCCUCGGUCAUCCUUGAGAAGAGCGGUCCUGGCAUUCAGUUGUCGGGGUCGGGAUUCUCGACGUUUACUGUGAAAAAAUCAGAGUGUUCAACGCAGGCUUACGCCUUGAAUACAUUAGCAUGGAAUAAUGAGAUAGGACCUUGGCGGUCUAUUUUGUUGGUUUGCACGCCGAGGUAAUGAUUAAAAGGGACGGUUGGGGUUCUUCGUAUUCAAUUGUCAGAGGUGAAAUUCUUGGAUUUAUGGAAGACGAACUGCUGCGAAAGCGUCGAACAAGGACGUUCUCAUUAAUCAAGAACGAAAGUUAGGGGAUCGAAGAUGAUUAGAUACCAUCGUAGUCUUAACCAUAAACUAUGCCGAUUCAGGAUUGGCGGUCGUUUGUUCUCGACUCCGUCAGCACUGUAUGAGAAAUCAAAAUCUUUGGGUUCCGGGGGGAGUAUGGUCGCAAGGCUGAAACUUAAAGAAAUUGACGGAAGGGCACCACCAGGAGUGGAGCCUGCGGCUUAAUUUGACUCAACACGGGGAAACUUACCAGGUCCAGACAUAGUAAGGAU